AAUAAGCCGAUUGAGAAAAGUUUCGAUUUUUUGAAACCCUAGUUUGAAAUUUGGGAUUUUGUUUUACUCCAAGAUCGUCUAGCUCCGCGGCCAGUCCGCUCCGCAUCUUCAAUUCAUCUGGUCUCCUCCUCGGCGGGACCAUCUUGAAACACCCCGGUAGUCGUUUGAUCGGCAUGUCCUGGACCAACGACCAAACCCUAGCCUGCCUCCACGCCGAGAUCGUCGGCUGACCAUCUCCAUGGGAAAAGAGUGCUUCGAGCGCAGCGUUGUCGACUGCGUCUUAUGCGGCAACGGCGUCGUUUGCAUCACCGAGUCCAACCCGUCGUACUGUAUGACUAUGGAAUUGAGCCGCAGUGGAGGAAGAAGGCGUCUAGCACUUGGGUUAAAUUCAACUCAGAUCUUCAAUUUAGUCAUAUUAACACAUCUAAUUUAGGUUUAAUCUGACAUUGAUCAAAUGGGGAAGUUAGGGUUCUGUGUUGUUUUUAAUUGUCGCUUAUUUUCUUUUGGUUUUUCAGUCUUUCUGUUGUUUAGGGAUUCUGUGAUUUGGUGGGUUUGUUUGUUCUUUCUGUUUUGCUUAUUUUGGGUUUUGUUAUUGCAAGAUUUAGGUAAUAUAUAAGCUGGAUUUGUUGUUGCCUAUAGAUUUAUAUGUUAAGCUUGAGUAUCUAUUGAUUUCCAUAAUAUGGUAAAUUGAUUCAUAUAAUUUAUUCAGGACACUUAUAUUGGAUUUUGUUUGAUAAAGAAAUCAUAAACUGCAACUCUGUUUGCAUAGAAACUACUAUUUAUUUCAAAUUAAAGUUUUUCAAUUUCUGUAGUGGCUUAUGUUCUACUUAUUAUUAUAUUGUACACUUCCCAAAGAUUACUCUUUUCUUUCUUUCCCUAGUAGUGUUUGUCUUGACAUGACUACAUGAGCUCUAUAUUGUUUACAUACUUUUUUAUAGUUGUAACAUUAGUCUAUUGCCCUUUGCUUUCAUUUAUUGGUUUGAAGCUAGCUUUGGAUAUUGAUGGUUUUAAGUAUUAAUUACUUUGUCUCCUUGUUUGCUCUAUCUUACAAAUACUCAUAUCUCUAUACGACAAGGGGUCGAAUGAAAUUGUUUUCAAGGCAAUGGGUAGAGCUAUAAUAAAACUGUGAUGAUUACUGAACUAAUCAAGAGAAGGAUUGUUGGCCUUCAUCAGACCUAAACUAUCAGGUAGAGCAUAGAACAACAAGGCAGGUUGAAAUGGGGUGGCGGAUGUAUUCCAGACUUUAUACUUUUCGUGUUUUUCUUACUUAUUUUGUUGUGCACAGUUUCCUUCAUUAUUUUCAGAUAGGCUUUGUAUAGUCAUGCAAAAUGUGUGAUCGUUCAAAGUAUCAUUGGAGCAAGUUAUCAGAACAAGUGCAUCUGAAGUGUUUUAAUUCAAAUGUUGAAGUUUAAAUAAGUUAGUUCUCCUAUAUAGUUUAUAGAGGCUUCUGCACAAUGUUGGUUGAUUGGUUAUUAGUUUUAUGAAGAGAUGUGAUACUGGAUUUUGAUGUUAUAUUAUUGAAUAUCUAAACUUGAAAUUUAAAUGGAAAUAUGAGAUUGUGUGA